AUUGCCCUAGUAACGGCGAGUGAAGCGGCAACAGCUCAAAUUUGAAAUCUGGCCCUCGGGUCCGAGUUGUAAUUUGUAGAGGAUGCUUUUGGUGCGGUGCCUUCCGAGUUCCCUGGAACGGGACGCCAUAGAGGGUGAGAGCCCCGUCUGGUUGGACGCCAAUCCUCUGUAAAGCUCCUUCGACGAGUCGAGUAGUUUGGGAAUGCUGCUCUAAAUGGGAGGUAUAUGUCUUCUAAAGCUAAAUACCGGCCAGAGACCGAUAGCGCACAAGUAGAGUGAUCGAAAGAUGAAAAGCACUUUGAAAAGAGAGUUAAAAAGUACGUGAAAUUGUUGAAAGGGAAGCGCUUAUGACCAGACUUGGGCUUGGUAGAUCAACCUGGGUUCUCCCUGGUGCACUCUUCCUCGUCCAGGCCAGCAUCAGUUCGCUGCGGGGGAUAAAGGUUUCGGGAAUGUGGCUCCCUCGGGAGUGUUAUAGCCCGUUGCGUAAUACCCUGUGGUGGACUGAGGUUCGCGUUCUGCAAGGAUGCUGGCGUAAUGGUCAUCAGUGACCCGUCUUGAAACACGGACCAAGGAGUCGUCUUCGUAUGCGAGUGUUCGGGUGUUAAACCCCUACGCGUAAUGAAAGUGAACGCAGGUGAGAGCUUCGGCGCAUCAUCGACCGAUCCUGAUGUUCUCGGAUGGAUUUGAGUAAGAGCAUACGGGGCCGGACCCGAAAGAAGGUGAACUAUGCCUGUAUAGGGUGAAGCCAGAGGAAACUCUGGUGGAGGCUCGCAGCGGUUCUGACGUGCAAAUCGAUCGUCAAAUAUGGGCAUGGGGGCGAAAGACUAAU
rnacentral:rRNA from 1 species